GCCCAUGCCUGAUUUAGAUGGUUGGUUAGAGUGUGGUGCUGGCAACGCCAAGGUUGAAGGUUCGAUCCCUGUAAGGGGCA